rnacentral:lncRNA from 1 species
GCAGUAGCAUCAAAUCGACCCGAACGGUGAGCGAUAAUUCCAAUAAAGGGACCGGAACACCAUCGUUGAUGAUCACUCACCUAUCCGCCAUGAUGCAAGCGACGGUCGCUCAUCAAAAUCUCCAAAGAAGGUCAACCAAGGACCGUCCUCAUUAUCACCUCUGAUCGGCCCACAAGGGACGGUUGGUCAAUAUCACUGAAUUACUAGCUAGCCUCCCUUUGUCGUGCUCUGUUUGGAGGAUCCAACUACUCGAUGGCUGUUAUAUUUCUAUUGUAUUAAGUUUUUGUUAUCGUUCUUAGUACUGUUUACUUUCGAAGUUGGAUAAUUAUGUUUGUUUUUGGAGGGUGAACCUCUUUUGGAUGUCAGUUUGUUGGAGAGAAAGGAUUGGGGUGUUUGCUUUUGCAAGAACCCACGAUCCAUGUUAGCCUCGUUGGUGAGAAUUGCACCUGCAAUUGAAAUCCUUGUACGCUUCAUGUUUGCUAUAAUUUCAUGAAAUAUGAUGUUAUCAAUCUGGUAAAAAAAAGUGUAGAUUGUUUAAACUAGUCGAC